CAGUAGCCGCGGAAAUACGUAGGGUGCAAGCGUUAAUCGGAAUUACUGGGCGUAAAGCGUGCGCAGGCGGUUUGUUAAGACAGAUGUGAAAUCCCCGGGCUCAACCUGGGAACUGCAUUUGUGACUGGCAGGCUAGAGUAUGGCAGAGGGGGGUGGAAUUCCGCGUGUAGCAGUGAAAUGCGUAGAUAUGCGGAGGAACACCGAUGGCGAAGGCAGCCCCCUGGGCCAAUACUGACGCUCAUGCACGAAAGCGUGGGGAGCAAACAGGAUUAGAUACCCCCGUAGUCCCUGUCUCUUAUAA
rnacentral:rRNA from 1 species